GUGAAAUUUUAUGGUUGUGAAUGUUCUUUGGGGAUGUAUUUGCUAACCACUGAAACGUGAAUUGUAAAUCAGUCAGGAAAAUUUGUGAAAUAUCGUGUAAUGCAAUUUAUGUAUAAUUUAACAUGUACUUUUACAGUUUAUACAGCCUGCUUUGAGAAGACGUAAUGGGAAUAAUAGUCCAUUAGACAUGUGGAUGGUCCCAGAUUUUCUGUGUCUGUCCAAUGCAGCUCAAUGAGAAGUCUUUGCCAGCCAGGUGCUCUGGGCAAUUGUUGCCUCUUGAGUUUAGCUCCAUUGAUUUCAGCAACCAGGAAGUAACAGGAUCGAUUAUCUGAUUGACAGCUAAGGGGGUGUAACAAGAUUAAUUUAGGCAAAUGUCUAAUUUGAAAUCUGCACUUUUACGUGUGACCUUUAAUUUCUUUUAAAUCCGUUUGAAAAAUGAAACAUUUAAAAACAAACCUAUACAAGCAGAUUACGAAGAAAAUGUUCUACAUCUUUUCAUCAAUCUUGACUAAAUGUGUGGAUCAAAGUACCCAAUGGAUAUCAUAAUUUAAAAAUUCUAUGUAUCCCUGUGUGUUCAUCAAAAUUAACUACAGUGCAGUAUAAAAUCUGUGUAUAAGUCCAUGUUAAAGGGUUACUCCAAACACCGCGACCACCCCAGGUAUUUGAAGUAGUUAUGGUCCUUGUAGUCUGCAUAUGCAGCGCUUUGCUUUGAAACCCCCAGGCUGCCAGAGGUUGUAACCACUACUGCGGUCUGUUUUGGCCAUGCUGCCUGGACAACAUUUUUAAGCCAUAUUUUAAACUACUUUUAUUUAUUUUUUCUGAUACAUAUGCAGAUUCACACAGUUCUUGGGGGAAAUCAAAAUCUGCUGGUUAGUUCUUGCUUCGCUUAAAGAAUGUAAACUUUUUUUAAAAUGAUUAUUUAUUUUUUUUUAUAUCCAGAAUGAGCAAGUCUGUGCGUGAAUGCAGGGCAGCUGGGUUUGACAUAACUGACUCAGCAAAACAGGGUCUCGCUAAUCCUCCCUCUAUUAUAGCGUUUCCUUCAGGGCAAUAAGAGCUUGUAAUUUACUUUUAUAAACGGAUCAAGACCUACUGCCAUUUCCUCGGUGUGUAAAGGCAUUUUGCUUUGUACAAUCACUGACGUGAUAUUGAUCUGUCAAUGACUGUAAAUACAUUGUUUGUACUGUCUGGCUAAUACCUUUUGACAUUCUACAGUGGUGUCUGCAGUAAUAUAUAAGCAAACGUUAGAUUCUCAGCUGUUCUAGAAUGCCACCUGUAGCGGAGCUACAAUAUUAAAAUCAAUAUCUCCGCUGGUAGACUGUAGAACAUCCAAGAUAAGCGCAGUGUAGCAAUUUAAUUGCAAUUUCCCCAGUAACCGGACGAUACACAGUUCUGGGAGUCAACUCAUUUUUAUUCUGCCACAGCUGGCUUUUAUGCAACUCCCCAUGCAAGGGGUUUCUUAAAUUACAUUCCAGGGGUUUUUCCCCGGUGGACCUGAGUGGAG